AGAGUUUGAUCAUGGCUCAGAUUGAACGCUGGCGGCAGGCCUAACACAUGCAAGUCGAGCGGAUGAGGGGUGCUUGCACCCUGAUUCAGCGGCGGACGGGUGAGUAAUGCCUAGGAAUCUGCCCGAUAGUGGGGGACAACGUUUCGAAAGGAACGCUAAUACCGCAUACGUCCUACGGGAGAAAGUGGGGGCUCUUCGGACCUCACGCUAUCGGAUGAGCCUAGGUCGGAUUAGCUAGUUGGUGGGGUAAAGGCUCACCAAGGCGACGAUCCGUAACUGGUCUGAGAGGAUGAUCAGUCACACUGGAACUGAGACACGGUCCAGACUCCUACGGGAGGCAGCAGUGGGGAAUAUUGGACAAUGGGCGAAAGCCUGAUCCAGCCAUGCCGCGUGUGUGAAGAAGGUCUUCGGAUUGUAAAGCACUUUAAGUCGGGAGGAAGGGCUGUAAGCGAAUACCUUGCAGCUUUGACGUUACCGACAGAAUAAGCACCGGCUAACUUCGUGCCAGCAGCCGCGGUAAUACGAAGGGUGCAAGCGUUAAUCGGAAUUACUGGGCGUAAAGCGCGCGUAGGUGGUUUGGUAAGUUUGGAUGUGAAAGCCCCGGGCUAACCUGGGAACUGCAUCCAGACUGCCUGACUAGAGUACGGUAGAUGGUGGAGGAAUUUCUGUAUAGAGAGGACU
rnacentral:rRNA from 1 species